rnacentral:misc_RNA from 1 species
AAUGCUCAAGCUUCAACCUUGUUGUAAAUGACUUGGUUUGUUGUUUGGAUUUGAGGGUUGCCGCGAGUUCUCGGACUUUUGAACGGCUCCCUUUAAAUACAUUAGUGGUGACUUGGAUCCACUAUCAAAUGUGUUGAUAGUUAUCUACACUUUGAAGUGACCGACUGUCUUUCCGCUUCUAACUGUCCUCUGGGACAAUAUCUUGAA